UGUGUGUGUGAAGGAUUACAUAAGGAUAUUUCUGGUUCAUUUAUCAAGGCUACCUGAAAUAUCGCAGGUUCAUUUACCAAAGGUUAAGGUAUUUGGUCAAAUUUAUUCAUUAAAUGUUGAAAGUUUGAGAUAUGAGGCAAUGUUUUUAUUUUUGUGUGUGUGUGUGUGUGUGAAGAUAUCAAUUAGUUUAUAGCUGGCUAAGUUCUAUUCGUCUCAUUCUGCACGCCUUGUCUGUGGAAUCAUGCAACCUGAAUGAAGCAUGACAUGAAGCCUUUGUACCUGAACUUUAUAUACUCACAUCUACUGCAUGAAGCACAUCCAAAUGUGAAAGUACUCGAGCAGCUAUGCCAUAAUUGCCAUUUUACGUCAGCCAAAGGUGGUCUCUGUCCUCUUCCAGUCGAGAAAACAUCAAUGGCAUUCGAGAAAUCCUUGCUUACACUCUGCAGCCCUUCACCUCUGCCAGUAUUGACUGCGGCAUUAAACAAAGCUCGAGUGCUCCGCUGCAAUCUGUUUACCAAACAAGAAUAAGGUGCUGUCUGCUUCAAACAAACGCCAACAUGCACCGGGCAUCAUCUUAUUCUGGGGUUGUGGGGGACCUGCGCUCAGGCAACGCCAACAACUCUCCGCGAACUGACAAAGCGAGAUAGCUGUACACCAUCACGCCAAUGGAGUGACAUAUCCCAACAAAGCAAAUAGAGAUAUCUCGACUGGUGGGUGUCGUCUGGCAUUCUGGAUUUGGUGACACGCCCAAACGGCAUGAACCCGACUGUAUCACUAUUCUCGAUAUUUCUCAUGAUCUCAUAUCACACACACUAUAAAAUGUUUUCAAACAAUAAUAUCAAAUAAUCACCCAAAAAUACAGACAAAUAGAUAGCUGUGUUUUCAUCAAUGUGACAAAAUUAGAUACCGCAUAGAAUAAAUAUGUCGGCAGGUAUAAAAGGCAUUAUUAUUAUUAUAUUACACAGAUACAGACACACAACAUAAAAAAGAAGAGCAAAGGAGGUUUGGUGAGAGAUUCGUACCUCAACUUUGCUUGUUUGUCUUUUGCUUAACGAGUGUUUAGAUUAGACUUGACUAUAGUUAAAUCUAUAAUUAAGGUCUAUAAUAAGUAUGUCAUGUGAGGGCUUUGGGUGGAG
rnacentral:lncRNA from 1 species